rnacentral:rRNA from 1 species
AAGCAACGCGAAGAACCUUACCAGGUCUUGACAUCCUUUGACCACUCUAGAGAUAGAGCUUCCCCUUCGGGGGCAAAGUGACAGGUGGUGCAUGGUUGUCGUCAGCUCGUGUCGUGAGAUGUUGGGUUAAGUCCCGCAACGAGCGCAACCCUUAUUGUUAGUUGCCAUCAUUCAGUUGGGCACUCUAGCAAGACUGCCGGUGACAAACCGGAGGAAGGUGGGGAUGACGUCAAAUCAUCAUGCCCCUUAUGACCUGGGCUACACACGUGCUACAAUGGGAAGUACAACGAGUCGCGAAGUCGCGAGGCUAAGCUAAUCUCUUAAAGCUUCUCUCAGUUCGGAUUGCAGGCUGCAACUCGCCUACAUGAAGCCGGAAUCGCUAGUAAUCGCGGAUCAGCACGCCGCGGUGAAUACGCUCCCGGGCCUUGUACACACCGCUCGUCACACCACGAGAGUUUGUAACACCCGAAGUCGGUGAGGUGACCUUUUUGGAGCCAGCCGCCUAAGGUGGGAUAGAUGAUUGGGGUGAAGUCGUAACAAGGUAGCCAAGGGCGAAUUCGCGGC